rnacentral:rRNA from 1 species
ACGGGAGGCAGCAGUGGGGGAUAUUGCACAAUGGAGGAAACUCUGAUGCAGCAACGCCGCGUGAGGGAAGACGGUCUUCGGAUUGUAAACCUAAGUAGACAGGGACGAAGAAAGUGACGGUACCUGUAAAGUAAGCUCCGGCUAACUACGUGCCAGCAGCCGCGGUAAUACGUAGGGAGCGAGCGUUGUCCGGAUUUACUGGGUGUAAAGGGUGCGUAGGCGGGUUUGCAAGUCAGGCGUGAAAUACCGAGGCUUAACUUCGGGGCUGCGCUUGAAACUGUAGAUCUUGAGUGAAGUAGAGGUAAGCGGAAUUCCUAGUGUAGCGGUGAAAUGCGUAGAUAUUAGGAGGAACACCAGUGGCGAAGGCGGCUUACUGGGCUUUAACUGACGCUGAGGCACGAAAGCAUGGGGAGCAAACAGGAUUAGAUACCCUGGUA